AUAAUUUAUCGAAUUUGCUCCGUAUCUGAUCUGUAUUAGAAUAAUAGAAUGCUUUAUAGGUAUACGCGCGUUCGUGAAAAAUGUGAAAAAGGUUAUCUAAACUCGUAUAUAUUAUCAUGUCGUCUCGUAUAAUUUAUUACGCCCGUAGGUAGUAAAUAAUUGCGUAUAGUCGACUUGAAAUCACAGCCAGACUUUCAGAAACCGAAUAACACACCAUCAAGAAUAAGAAAAAUCGUCAUG